rnacentral:rRNA from 1 species
UGGGGAAUUUUGGACAAUGGGCGAGAGCCUGAUCCAGCAAUGCCGCGUGUGUGAAGAAGGCCUUCGGGUUGUAAAGCACUUUUGUCCGGAAAGAAAUGGCUCUGGUUAAUACCUGGGGUCGAUGACGGUACCGGAAGAAUAAGGACCGGCUAACUACGUGCCAGCAGCCGCGGUAAUACGUAGGGUCCAAGCGUUAAUCGGAAUUACUGGGCGUAAAGCGUGCGCAGGCGGUUGUGCAAGACCGAUGUGAAAUCCCCGAGCUUAACUUGGGAAUUGCAUUGGUGACUGCACGGCUAGAGUGUGUCAGAGGGGGGUAGAAUUCCACGUGUAGCAGUGAAAUGCGUAGAGAUGUGGAGGAAUACCGAUGGCGAAGGCAGCCCCCUGGGAUAACACUGACGCUCAUGCACGAAAGCGUGGGGAGCAAACAGG